CCUACGGGCGGCAGCAGUGAGGAAUAUUGGUCAAUGGACGAGAGUCUGAACCAGCCAAGUAGCGUGAAGGAUGACUGCCCUAUGGGUUGUAAACUUCUUUUAUAAAGGAAUAAAACGAGGCACGUGUGCCUUUUUGCAUGUACUUUAUGAAUAAGGAUCGGCUAACUCCGUGCCAGCAGCCGCGGUAAUACGGAGGAUCCGAGCGUUAUCCGGAUUUAUUGGGUUUAAAGGGAGCGUAGAUGGGUUGGUAAGUCAGUUGUGAAAGUUUGCGGCUCAACCGUAAAAUUGCAAUUGAUACUGGGAGUCUUGAGUACAGGUGAGGUAGGCGGAAUUCGUGGUGUAGCGGUGAAAUGCUUAGAUAUCACGAAGAACCCCGAUUGCGAAGGCAGCUUACUAAACUGUGACUGACAUUGAUGCUCGAAAGUGUGGGUAUCAAACAGGAUUAGAUACCCGAGUAGUC
rnacentral:rRNA from 1 species